UGUAAAUUAUAUACAAUGAUUAUCUAUAAUUGGUUGAAUUGAAUUCUUCUGGAAAUCAGAUUAAACAAAGACAAACAGAAGUGGAUGAGAGACUUGGUGAGGUUGAAAGAACCUGAUAAAAUUGUCUGCAAAGGGUGUGUGAAUAGAAAGAAGAGGAACCAUUGGACAAGCUUACUGGAAGAUUUAGUUUGCUAUCCACCAACAGUUGAACCCAGGUGCCACAUCAUCCCCUAGAGACUAGUGGGUCUCAACAAUAACUCUCGGCAACAACCACGAAGGGACUCGAACCCUCAAUCUUCUGAUCCGAAGUCAGACGCCUUAUCCGUUAGGCCACGUGGUCUCACACCUGAAGGUCUUUCACUGCAGCUGACUGAAUAUCCAAAAUCAACCCACCAUUAUUCGCUCAGCAUGGAGAGUUCACAACAACUAAUCAGAGGUAAAUUAGUCUUUACCUCAUCCACCUGGGUACUGGUGGCUUUGUCUAACAGGUGUCCCCACUUAGCCUCACUUCCACUAAUAUGAGUCAUAAAAAUGAACUCCUCCGCUGUGUUUUUGUGCUGUUGUUGCCUUUUGGAGCCAAUUUAAUGACUAAAAUUACAGCUUGCUGUAUGUAAGUGACUGAAAGAAAACCGGACCAGGCCAAAAUGUGUCUGCCAUCUUGAAAUUGGUGCAAUAGACCUCAAGCUACAGAGUGUUGCAGAGACAUGAAGGAAAAAUCAUUUCCUCUGCGCUCCAGGCGACCUUCACAAAUCACCUGAGUGGCUUGAUUGCAGCCAUAACUCAGCGUAAUGCCAGCACUGUAACGCUCGCAGCAGCCCUGACCCUCACAAAACAUUUUCCUCCCGGCCUUAUCUGUGUUUAUGACACUUUGCCCGCCACUGUGUGAACAACAAAAUGAGCCAGAUGGGACUGACUGAGGAUCUGUCCAGAUUACCACGCCACCUCAACACAGCGGCAGCCAGAAAACAGGAUCGGCACAGACAGGAUGGCUUUCCAUGAAGAGCUGGACAAACCUCAGCGUGCAACAAGCUGUCUCAUUAUAGAUACACGUUUGAUACACAAUGUGUUUGUUUGAUACACAGUGUGUCUAUUCCAUCAGUUUUUGUAGUUUAUUUAAAUCAUCUCUGGGUGUUUUUGCUACUACAAAUCCAUCAGUGCAUGUCAUGUUAAAGCUUUAAUCCUCCGUUCAGCAAUUUAUCAACAAAAUGUUCACAAGAAAGACAUUUUCAUGAGGACGUAUGAUGAAUGACUGUCUUCUAGCACCACCUUAAGGCCACAACUUUUACCUGUUCUACCGUCACAAGUUUCUUCACUUCCAAUUUCAUAGCCAGAGAUCCAUAAAACAGCCACAAAAUAAAAACAGACAAAUGCACACCAAGAAGCUAACAACAGCCAGGGAAAAUUAUACGUGACUGAUGGUGCACAAUGACCUCCACAAGAAUCCAAAAACUUCACAAAAAAAGAUUAGUAACAAACCUCAAAUGUGUAUAAUGAUCCUUCAGCAACGCAAAAUGACUCCACAAAGGGCCAAACUAAUGAUAGCUUGCUACAAAAUGAUCCCUAAAUGAUGCAAAAUAACCACGAAAACAUAGCAAUCAUGCUUAACAUUUACAAAAAAGACACAUAAUGACCACAAAGAGAUGCAAAACAAUUACAGAGGAAUAAAAAAGCCAUGAAAAGACCCGAAAACACACAGUGGCACAAGCAAAUCCCCAAAGGGCAUAAAAUAACUCAAAAAGAUACAACAAAGGGAUAAAGAACAACAACAAACGCGACACUAAAGAACGAAAACAGACCGAAAAUGAUCCGGAAGAAUUACAAAAAGAAAGAUGACAACCACAAAGAGAAGAUUAUGCCAAAAUUAUCAAAAAAUUAUGCAA